rnacentral:rRNA from 1 species
GAACCCCGGAGAGGGGAGUGAAAUAGAACCUGAAACCGUGUACGUACAAGCAGUCGGAGCCCUCUUGUGGGGUGACGGCGUACCUUUUGUAUAAUGGGUCAUCGACUUGGUCUAUCUAGCAAGCUUAAGCCGUUAGGUGUAGGCGCAGCGAAAGCGAGUCUUAAUAGGGCGAAUGAGUUAGAUGGAUCAGACCCGAAACCGAGUGAUCUAGGCAUGACCAGGCUGAAGGUAAGGUAACACUUACUGGAGGGCCGAACCCACACCUGUUGAAAAAGGUCGGGAUGAGUUGUGCCUAGGGGUGAAAGGCCAAUCAAACUCGGAGAUAGCUGG